UGAACUCUCAAAGUUCUUUUCCUUUAAUUGGGUCAAGAUACUUUGGAUCUUGGGUGCUUGCGGGCCUUGGCUUGCUCACCUUGAAUGGAAUGUGGCAUUCUUCUCUGAAGCUGCUGCUGGGUCUGACCUGGAGUGAUAGAAGUCUUUCGAGAUCUCUAGGGAAACUGUCUUUUGAUGGUGCCUGCAGUGGUGGGAGGGAGUGUCUAUCAGACUUAAUUGACGA
rnacentral:misc_RNA from 1 species